AAUAUUAAAUGUUAUAAGUAGAGGUGCACCGAUCGAGCCAGGGAAUUGGCCAAUAUUCCUCAUGAUCGGACUGUAUUAUUUAGGUAAACAACAUUUCACGACGUUUCCCGAAUAUCAACACUACUGCAACGAGGACAGCGAAGUUGUGAGAUCAGCCAGGCACUUGUUGUCUUUGCUGACCUCAGGCAGUGCAGCUGGUCCCAGUCACGAUAAUGCCAGGCAGCACACUGUUCAGCAGAGGGCCACAAUUCAAACUGAGAUGACCAGAUCAUUUCCCGGGUUUUUCACCAAAGGACGGGGUAAAAGGCGAAUGCUGUCAAUGCCCCCUAGCAAACCCGCAAAAAUAUUGCCUGUUAACUUUUAUCUGCUUCCUCACCAAUAUGAGCGAACACCUAAGGAGAGUGAGCAACUGGUACAUAUGCAAGCUGGGUUGGGGCGAAAGACAAUGCAAAUGGAUGAAAAUGCAACUUAUGAUGAAGUAUGUGCCCAACUGAAGGAGCUGUUCCCAAAAUUUCAGGAUGUAAAGGGGGGUUGGCUUGUCUAUAAGUCUUCAGGUGGAUGGGGCUCCCGGAAGCUUACACUUAUCCCACCCGAUGAGAGUGGGUACAGUGCCAAAUAUUUGAAAGUAGCAACCCAGGGUUUCAAAGGAGUUCUUUACGUAGCUCCACUACAAAUGGAGCUCGAUACCACUGCUCUGCCACCUGAAUCGGAAAGCUUUAAUGAUAUGCCUAAAGAAAAAUGUCAGAAAUGUGGAAUCAUGUAUCCUUUAGUUAUCCUGACUGCACACAUAAAGUCAUGUGUGAGCAGUGAUGAAGUUGAACAAACCAGUGAUGAAGCUGUCGAAACCAGUGAUGAAGUUGAACAGACCAAACAAGAAACUUGCCCCAUCUGUCAAAAGAAAAUGCCUUUUGAUGUGAUAGAGAUUAAUGCAAGUUUUUGCACAGGUGACAGUGUAAGCAUGCAACCUCUGGAGUUCAAUGUGUCUAUGGAAGAACCAUCCACAUCUGGAGUUUCUGUGUCUGUGACACAUACCGGUGAUCAUUUAAAUGCAGCUGAUGCCACAAGCACGAGUUAUGAUUGGAAAAUUGAAUUAUUGGAUAAAAAUAAAGCAGCAUCCUUAUUGUCACGAUCGUCGGGCAGGCGAUCCGGGAAGCAGGCAAACGGAGCCAGGAAGUAGGCAAAACGGGGAUUUAUUGUGGGUAACAGGACCGGGGAACCACGACAGUAAACAUUAAUGACGAGUCUGGGGAAGACGGACACAGACGAGGACUAAAUACAAAAGACAAGCCACGGAUAACGAGCCACAUGUGAGAACAAUCAGGGUGAAAGAGGAGGUAAUGAGGUGGGCGUGGCACACAUUGGGAGCGGACGGAGCGGGGCGUGACACUUAUACACAAAGGAAAUAAUUCUCCAACAUGAGAUGAGAAAGCCCCUCUUGAUGACCAUGGAUUUGAGGAUGGACAAGGAAGAUCAAGACAGAGAACUUAUUGCAUUCUACAAACAAAACACUGUAGAAUGGGCAAGCCCUGUGAAGAGCAGACUCCAAGGAGAUGCUGCCAUUGGUGAAGGAGUAACCAGACAUUUCUUGUCUACGGUUAUACAGAGGCUUCAGCAUGGCUUCAGUCUUAACAUGGGAAAUACUGCAAGGACCUGUCUCUUUGAAGGUGAACCAGGUCAUCUUGUUCCAUCAUCAUCACAAUUUCUCGUAGAGAGUGAUCUUUUCCUAGUUACAGGACGAAUGAUCGGACAUUCUUUUCUACAUGGUGGACCUCGGCUGUCUGGAGUCAGUCAAGCAAUAGUGCAUGUACUACUAGGUGGUUCACCUGAGACUGCUACAGUGCAAAUAGAAGACUGUCCUGGCUAUGAUAUUCGUGAAACCAUAAAACCGGUAUUUACAUUAGUUGCAUAAUUUAGGUUUAAUUUAAACUAGUCAUAAUUGCAUAAAAAUUUUUUACUUUCAUUUAAUAUUAUUCUUCAUGAAGCUUGAUGGAGAGGCUGAACUCACUAGCAGUGAAUAUCAAGCUGUCCUUGACCUGAGUCUUGCUUGGGAUCUGCAUGGCCCAACCAAAGAAAACCGGAAGUGGCUUUUUGAGCGCCUUUUAUCAUAUGCGGUAGUAUUGUUUUUAUUUUGUCAAAGCAAUUUUUUUCUUUUGUUUAAUUAACCUUCAAACUUAAGCAUUUUGUACUAUAAUAUUCAUUGUAUUUAUGAAACCUAAUAAUGUAAUAUAUGUAAUACAAAAGGUCAUUGGAAGGAGAUUACGGCAGUUGAAACAAAUACGUAAAGGACUUAAAGAAACCAGAGUGUGGCCACUGGUGACUGAAAGGACAGAUGUGGAUAUUUUUCCGAGGGAAUGUGAAAAUUCGCUCACCCCAUUAGUAAGUUUAAAUUGGUUAUGGAGUGAUGUGCAUAUAGUACUGUUGCAACAGAAAUAUAUUAUUGUUUCCAGAUGCUGCUGCCCUGUAUCUGCUGGCCCUCUGAUAGCAGUGUGAAUGAUGAUGAUGACGAUGACAAUGACGAUUGUUCACUAGAAGAUAGAUGUCGUAUCUCAGGGUAUUUCCGUCGCUUCAUUGAAACCGGUAUAAACCUUUACAUUUGUUUUAUGUAGGUCUGUAUGUAAUGUAGCUGAUACAGUUUGCUCGAUUUUAUACCGGGUAUAUGUUUGAUGACCUGGAUUAGAUAAUAGAGAGGUGGUACUGUAGGAAUGACAUCAGAAACUGAAAGACUAUUUCACCACUGGUUCCUUCAAGAUUUCCCCAUGGUUUUAUGACAAUAGCUAUGACGAGUUAUGUUUAAUAUAGAUUUUAUUUUACUUAUAAAUUGAAGAAAGUCAUAGGAAAAUCUAUAGGAAAAUCUCAUGGGAACCAGAGGGUGGUGUUUUGACAUCAUACUUCCACUACUCUUAUUUCUCAAAUAGGAAACUUUUUUUUUCUUUGAACUGCCCAUGAUUCAAAUUUAUAUAUAUAUUUGCUUUAUUUAGCAUCCAGCUCUGACCUUAAGGCCUUGGUGAAAUUUUGGCUGGGGUGGGAAGUGCCAGAUGGAAAGAUGGUAGUGGAAGUUGUUACUGCUGACAUGCCGAAGUCCUCCACUUGCUUCAAUAUGCUACGAUUACCAAGUUAUUACAUGGAUUUCAGCCAUUUUAGGGACGAGCUCCUUAAGUCCAUUGGCACUUCUGAGUUUGGUUUUGGGCUUGUAUAGUUAUGUGAAAUCUAAUACAGACACCAUAUAUACAAAUGAAGUUACAGUCCCACAGUUUGUCCUGCAUUGUUUGGACUUGUUGUUCAGUAAUUUUGAUGCAGUUCAUCUAUGCACACGUUCA